rnacentral:rRNA from 1 species
GGUAACAUUUCUAGCUUGCUAGAAGAUGACGAGUGGCGGACGGGUGAGUAAUGCUUGGGAACUUGCCUUUGCGAGGGGGAUAACAGUUGGAAACGACUGCUAAUACCGCAUAAUGUCUCCGGACCAAACAGGGCUUAGGCUCUGGCGCAAAGAGAGGCCCAAGUGAGAUUAGCUAGUUGGUGAGGUAAUGGCUCACCAAGGCGACGAUCUCUAGCUGGUUUGAGAGGAUGAUCAGCCACACUGGGACUGAGACACGGCCCAGACUCCUACGGGAGGCAGCAGUGGGGAAUAUUGCACAAUGGGCGCAAGCCUGAUGCAGCCAUGCCGCGUGUGUGAAGAAGGCCUUCGGGUUGUAAAGCACUUUCAGUAAGGAGGAAAGGGAUGUAGUUAAUAGCUGCAUUCUGUGACGUUACUUACAGAAGAAGCACCGGCUAACUUCGUGCCAGCAGCCGCGGUAAUACGAGGGGUGCAAGCGUUAAUCGGAAUUACUGGGCGUAAAGCGUUCGUAGGCGGUUGAUUAAGCAAGAUGUGAAAGCCCAGGGCUCAACCUUGGAACUGCAUUUUGAACUGGUCAACUAGAGUACUGUAGAGGGUGGUGGAAUUUCCAGUGUA